rnacentral:rRNA from 1 species
UGGGGAAUUUUGGGCAAUGGGCGAAAGCCUGACCCAGCAACGCCGCGUGUGGGAUGAAGGCCCUCGGGUCGUAAACCACUGUCAGGAGGAAAGAAAAGUCGGCCGGAUAAUACUCGGUCGACCUGACGGUACCUCCAAAGGAAGCACCGGCUAACUCCGUGCCAGCAGCCGCGGUAAUACGGAGGGUGCAAGCGUUGUUCGGAAUUACUGGGCGUAAAGCGCGUGUAGGUGGUCGAGUAAGUCGAAUGUGAAAGCCCCGGGCUCAACCCGGGAAGUGCAUCCGAAACUGCUCGACUAGAGUCCCAGAGAGGAAGGCAGAAUUCCCAAUGUAGGGGUGAAAUCCGUAGAUAUUGGGAGGAAUACCAGUGGCGAAGGCGGCCUUCUGGACGAUGACUGACGCUGAGACGCGAAAGCGUGGGGAGCAAACAGGAUUAGAUACCCCCGUAGUCCCUGAGCGGGCUGGCAAGGCGCAU